AUAAUAUAUGACUGUAAAGAUAUGAAAAAUUCUGAAAUUACAUAUAGAUAGGCAGCUAUAAAAGAUAUCUUUCUGAAAUGAAAUUUGCUCUUAACGAUGUAUCCAAGAACCUGAAAAAUUGUGAGACCAGCAGUGGACUUUCAAAACAGGGACAAGCAUUAAGAGGAGUUGGAGCUUCAGAGAAGUACACUAUUAGCGGCUGCCUCUGUAAGAUAGCUACUGGCUAUCGAGAUUUUACACACUGUCAAGAUUACUUGGACAUUUGCACAGAUCCUGUUAAAGUCACAUCACCUUGAUGCUGUUCUCAACCACCUAAUAAGGUGUAUGUGAAGAGGUGGCAAUGUGUAGAGAAAUAGUUUGACUUAGCAGGCUGUGCUAUGUCAUGUUCCCUGUGCCAUGUUAUCCAGGAUGCAACAUACCUUUUACCACAACUCUCAUCCUAGAGGCACACUUCACCUGCCGGUUUUCAGCCUGCCCACACAGAGAAAAUCUACCCUCUCUGUUACCUCCUUCACCCUGUACUACAUGUUUCACAAUCUGAGCUGGGGUGACAUCCUGUCCCAAAAGAUUCAUCCAGUGGGCAAGACAGCCAUAGGUUAUCAAAACAUCAUCACCUGCUUCUAAUGCUUUGUGCAUCUUCUCCAUGUUCUUUGUGUUAUCUGUUACCACAGUUUUAACUCGGCAGCCAUAAGACUCUUAGGCUUUGGACUUAGACUCAAGUAGCAUUUCUUUGCAAGCUUCUGUGUCUUGACUGUAGUCCCUGUACUCUGUGCAUCUAUGAAGUAUACUUCACCUUCACAUGUAACAGACGAUGCUACUACGGGGACAUUCUGCUCCAUCCAUCCUGUUGAAUGGUAACAGUCUUUCCAUCCAACUUAGCCUUCAUUUUAGAUUGAAGCUUUUCAUAGAUCUGAUUGAAUUGAGGUAUGUUGAACUGAUUGCUCUUCUAGUAAGUGGCUGAUACCCCAGCCUUAGUGUGAACAAUUGCAUGGAAAAUUGGAUUUUAUACCAUAGGGAAUGGAAGAUUGCAUCUGUAAAUGAACUCGGCAAUAGUCAGAUCUAUCUUCUGUUUGGUAGCUGCUGGAGUGCUAACCAAGAAUUUAGCCAUACCAGACUGGACUUUCUUUGGCUGAGGACCUGAGACAUCAUAUUCGGGUGGAUGCCUUUUGGGCUCUGUCAACACAGAUGAAUUUAUUCUGGCCCUCGACUAGUUCAAAAUAAUCCCAUGUAGAAUCUUUGGGUCUGCACCCUUAAGCAUACUGAAAGUUACAAUCUCCCGAGGUAUAUCUGAGAUGGAACAAAUGUUUGUACACAUAUUACUAGUGCUCUUGCACUUGCCAAUGAAGUAAACUUCAGUGAGAUGUUUAGGUGUGAAUAGUCACUUUGUGACUGUGAGUUCACUUAGAAUACCUUUUGCUGGUGACUUGUAGUUAAAUGUGUUUUGGCAAUUUUGCUAUAUUUUGUGCUUUCAUGUAUUCUUAAAUAACUAACAAUUAGGUCUUCCAACAUAAAUUUGCUACAUGAAUAUACUAUGGUAAAGAUGAAUUUGCCAGCAUAUACAUUUAAUACUCCACAUUAUUGUAAUAUACAAUUAUAAUGUAUUUUGUAUUGUGAUGUAAUAAUUCAUGUUCAGAAUUAGGUUUGAGACACAAUUUAAAGUAACUUUGUGUUUUUGACAUUUUUGACCAUUUUAGGUGUCCAAAACCUGCCAACCCUGCAUGCUUCAUUCCAUUAUGUAUGUACACAUCUUUUUUUAUAUACAUGUUAUAUGGAAGAAGUAUUUAAAUAAUAAAAUAUGCUUCAUAUAAA